rfam:Vibrio sp. C7 DNA, contig: contig00001, strain: JCM 19233.
AGUCAUACUCAAUCUAUCAGGGUCCAGCAACAAAAACCCCGACUUUUCGGGGUUUUUGUUAUCUGAAUUUUGUGAAUUCAGGUAAUGCAUGGAAUUUAAAUUGGGCUCUUAUGCCCUUUUUUU